rnacentral:tRNA from 1 species
CAAAGAAUAGUUUAAACUAGAAUCCUGGCUUUGGGAGUCAGGGGCGGGGGUUAGAAUCCCCCUUCUUUGA